rnacentral:rRNA from 1 species
UACAGAGGGUGCGAGCGUUAAUCGGAAUAACUGGGCGUAAAGGGCGCGUAGGCGGUUUAUCAGGUUGGAUGUGAAAGACCCGGGCUUAACCUGGGAAUGGCAUCUAAGACGGAUAGGCUAGAGUGAAGUAGAGGUAAGCGGAAUUUCCGGAGUAGCGGUGAAAUGCGUAGAGAUCGGAAGGAACAUCGGUGGCGAAGGCGGCUUACUGGACUUAGACUGACGCUGAGGCGCGAGAGCGUGGGGAUCAAACAGG